rnacentral:rRNA from 1 species
AGAGCACUGUUUGGACUAGGGGCCCUUCUCGGGUUACCGAAUUCAGAUAAACUCCGAAUGCCAUGUACUUAUACUCGGGAGUCAGACUGCGAGUGAUAAGAUCCGUAGUCGAAAGGGAAACAGCCCAGACCACCAGUUAAGGUCCCCAAAUAUAUGUUAAGUGGAAAAGGAUGUGGGGUUGCUUAGACAACCAGGAUGUUGGCUUAGAAGCAGCCACCAUUGAAAGAGUGCGUAAUAGCUCACUGGUCGAGUGACCCCGCGCCGAAAAUGUACCGGGGCUAAACAUAUUACCGAAACUGUGGAUGAACCUCUUUAGAGGUUCGUGGUAGGAGAGCGUUCUAAGGGCGGUGAAGUCAGACCGGAAGGACUGGUGGAGCGCUUAGAAGUGAGAAUGCCGGUAUGAGUAGCGAAAGAAGGGUGAGAAUCCCUUCCACCGAAUAUCUAAGGUUUCCUGAGGAAGGCUCGUCCGCUCAGGGUUAGUCGGGACCUAAGCCGAGGCCGAUAGGCGUAGGCGAUGGACAACAGGUAGAGAUUCCUGUACCAGUGCUAAUUGUUUAACCGAUGGGGUGACACAGAAGGAUAGGGAAUCGCACGAAUGGAAAUGUGCGUCCAAGCAGUGAGUGUGAG